GGGUGUGUGGUGUAGCGGUAGCACGUGUCGUCGUCAGACGGACUUCAGUAACUAAUAUCGACGGUGCUGAUACCCCGCCAAUGUGUGCGACGAGGCCUGGGUUCAAUUCCUGGUGCGAUCU